CCCGCAACGAGCGCAACCCUUAUCCUUUGUUGCCAGCGGUUAGGCCGGGAACUCAAAGGAGACUGCCAGUGAUAAACUGGAGGAAGGUGGGGAUGACGUCAAGUCAUCAUGGCCCUUACGAGUAGGGCUACACACGUGCUACAAUGGCGCAUACAAAGAGAAGCGACCUCGCGAGAGCAAGCGGACCUCAUAAAGUGCGUCGUAGUCCGGAUUGGAGUCUGCAACUCGACUCCAUGAAGUCGGAAUCGCUAGUAAUCGUAGAUCAGAAUGCUACGGUGAAUACGUU
rnacentral:rRNA from 1 species